GAUGAACGCUGGCGGCGUGCCUAAUACAUGCAAGUCGAGCGAACAGACGAGGAGCUUGCUCCUUUGACGUUAGCGGCGGACGGGUGAGUAACAUGUAGGUAACCUACCUAUAAGACUGGGAUAACUUCGGGAAACCGGAGCUAAUACCGGAUAAUAUUUCGAACCGCAUGGUUCGAUAGUGAAAGAUGGCUUUGCUAUCACUUAUAGAUGGACCUGCGCCGUAUUAGCUAGUUGGUAAGGUAACGGCUUACCAAGGCAACGAUACGUAGCCGACCUGAGAGGGUGAUCGGCCACACUGGAACUGAGACACGGUCCAGACUCCUACGGGAGGCAGCAGUAGGGAAUCUUCGGCAAUGGGCGCAAGCCUGACGGAGCAACGCCGCGUGAGUGAUGAAGGUCUUCGGAUCGUAAAACUCUGUUAUUAGGGAAGAACAAACGUGUAAGUAUACGUGCACGUCUUGACGGUACCUAAUCAGAAAGCCACGGCUAACUACGUG
rnacentral:rRNA from 1 species